UUCAGUUUAAUUUUUACUACAAUCAUAAUACGAAUAAUUAUUUGUUUGUUUAUGUAAAUAAAAUAUACUUAAUUUAACAGAAAACAUUCACAUUAUUAGUAAUAAUAACAAAUAAUUACAUUAUUGACCACAUUAGAUUGAUAUUAAAUAGAGACAAAUUGGGAUGUGACUGCGAUUAACAGCUGCAGAGAUGCACUCAACACUGCUUCUCUGUAAUAUUUAUGCAAAUCUCCACCUCCUCUUGUAAUAUUAGCACCGUGCUUAUCUAGAGAUGAAGUGGUUCUCAUUAGUCCUCCUUCAACACAAACAUGUUUGCUUCAGCUCCACUGCUGCUGCUGCUGGCUCUCGCCCCCUAUGUGUUCUGUGCUACUGAGCUCAUCCAGCCAGACUCAGUGGUUAUAAAGCCAGGAGAGACUUUAACCAUCACCUGUAGAGUGUCUGGAGCUUCUAUCAGUGAUAGCAGUCACUAUGGAACAGCUUGGAUUCGACAACCUGCAGGAAAAGCUUUAGAAUGGAUCAACAGCAUUUAUUAUGAUGAGAGUAUUAAUAAGAAAGAUUCACUUAAAGACAGGUUUGUUGUCUCACGAGACACUUCCAGUAACACUCUGACCUUACGGGGACAGAACAUGCAGACUGAAGACACAGCUGUGUAUUACUGCGCUCGUGAUCCACACUGACACGACAAGCUGCAGCACUGCACAAAAACAUCAUAUGCAUAACAAUUCAGUUCUGUAUUUAAAUAAUAACUA